rnacentral:rRNA from 1 species
GUCCACGCCGUAAACGAUGCACACUAGGUGACGGGAUCUCUCACGAUUUCGCCGCCGAAGCAAAAGUAAUUAGUGUGCCGCCUGGUGAGUACGGCCGCAAGGCUAAAACUCAAAGGAAUUGACGGGGGCUCACACAAGCGGUGGAGCAUGUGGCUUAAUUCGAAGCAACGCGAAGAACCUUACCUGGGCUUGACAUGCAUGGAUGUCUUAUGGGGAUAACUUGUAAGAUUACCCUUCGGGGUUAAACAUGCACAGGUGUUGCACGGCUGUCGU